AUUGAACGCUGGCGGCAGGCCUAACACAUGCAAGUCGAGCGGUAGCACAGAGAGCUUGCUCUCGGGUGACGAGCGGCGGACGGGUGAGUAAUGUCUGGGAAACUGCCUGAUGGAGGGGGAUAACUACUGGAAACGGUAGCUAAUACCGCAUAACGUCGCAAGACCAAAGUGGGGGACCUUCGGGCCUCAUGCCAUUAGAUGUGCCCAGAUGGGAUUAGCUGGUAGGUGGGGUAACGGCUCACCUAGGCGACGAUCCCUAGCUGGUCUGAGAGGAUGACCAGCCACACUGGAACUGAGACACGGUCCAGACUCCUACGGGAGGCAGCAGUGGGGAAUAUUGCACAAUGGGCGCAAGCCUGAUGCAGCCAUGCCGCGUGUGUGAAGAAGGCCUUCGGGUUGUAAAGCACUUUCAGCGGGGAGGAAGGCGGUGAGGUUAAUAACCUCACUGAUUGACGUUACCCGCAGAAGAAGCACCGGCUAACUCCGUGCCAGCCGCCGCGGUAAGAC
rnacentral:rRNA from 1 species